UUAUCUUUGUAACCCUCUUUACAUCUUUAUUACUAUCUUUUCAUGGAAAUACAUUUCUAUGAUAACAUUUGAAAUUACAACAUAAUAUCAAUAUUUUUUAUGGACCCAGUGUUUCAUUUAUAUGAUAUCCUAAAGUUUAUUUCCACAGUAACCUAGUGGUGAAAAUUUAGUUCCCUUACCAUAGUUUCUAUUACAGACAAUGGUAUAUAUAACACUCUUGCUCAUAUGUACAAAUAUUUCAGUAAUAAUUUCUUUAUAAGUUUUUGAAAGAGUAUCUUUAAGCCCCAGACACUUAAAAAUUUUAUAUCAAGAUGAUGAAAUCAAAAUACUUUUACUUUUUUUAAUUUUUUUUUAUCUAAAUAGGUUUUUGGGGAACAGGUGGUGUUUGUUUACAUCAAUAAGUUAUUCAGCGGUGAUUUCUGAGAUUUCGGCACACCCUUCACCCAAGCAGUGUACACUGUACCCAAUGUAUAGUCUUUUAUCCCUCAACACUCCCCACUGUUUUUUUGUUUAGUUUGGCUCUGACCUUUACUGUUUCCUUCCUUCUACUCAUUUGGGAUUUGGUUUUUCCUUUUUUAGUUCCUUGAGGUGAACAGUUAGAUUGGUUAUUUGGAAUCUUUUUACUUUUUUGAUGUAGGCAUCUAUUGCUACAAAUUUUUCUCUAAGCACUGCUUUUGCUGUAUCCCAUAGAUUUUGGUAUGUUGUGUUUCCAUUUUCAUUUGUUUCAAAUAACUUUUUGAUAUCCUCCAUAUUUUUUUUCUUGACUCAGUGGUCAUUCUGGAGCAUGCUGUUUGUUUAUUUUCCACAUAUUUGUACAGUUUCCCAGGUUCCUCUUGUUAUUGAUUUCUACUUUUAUUACAUUUUUGUCUGAGAACAUACUUGAUAUGAUUUUGAUUUUUUAAAUUUGUUGAGACUUGUUUUGUGUCCUUCUACUUAACUACUUCCUUCACCAUUAAAUAGAAUACAGUAAUAGCUAUUUCAAAUUAAUGAACAUAAUACACAUUACUUUUGUCAAUCUGUGCAAAUGUAUGUUAUGUUGUGUCUAAAUAUUCAUCAAAAUAUUUUUAUUCCUGAAUACCAAAUUUCAGACAAUAUACAAAAGCACAUAUAUGAAUUGUAAUUAAUCUUCACCUCUCAGUAGCUCAACUCCUACCUCCUGACCCAAAAGGUCUGUUGUCCAUAGAAUGGUGCACACUUUCCAGACAUGUUUCUGUGGAUGAGGUGCACAUGACCAUGUUCACCUACAUAUGCACGUAAUCUUUGCCAAAAAGUGCAACCACAUUAAUCAUCUCCUUUUGCAAGCUGUCUUUUCCACUUAAUAUUCUUCUGAGGAUUUAUAUUAGCAUCUUAUUAGUUCUUAUAGUUUUAGCAUAAUCAACAAGUUCCUUGUUCAUGUCUAUAUCUAUUGGAAUUCUAUGUCAAAAUUAGUUGCCAACUGUUUUGUUACUGAGUUUGCCCUAUAAAUUAUGGAUACUAAUCCAACAUCUGAGAUGUAGUUUGAAAAUGUUUCCCCGUUAUUUUACAGACAUUCUUAGUGUUAUUUUCAUUUAGAAUGUGUUUUCAACUUCAAUAAUAUGAAUAAGAUAUAUAUAGAUUGUAAUUUAAAAAGAAAUACUAGUGAAGAACACCUUAGGGCGUGUGUACCACAAAUGUUCAUAGCAGCUUUAUUUACAAGAGCCCCAAAUGAGAAACAACCAAAAUGUCCAUCGACAAAUGGAUGGAUAAUAAAAUGUUUAGUGUGGUUGUAUACCGCAAUAGUAUUUAGCAAUCAAAAAGAAUGAAGUAUAUCAAUAGAUAAAUGCAAUAAAAUGGAUAAAUAUAAAAAUAAGUGGAGUGAAUGAAAAAAGCCAGGUGUUGAUAAAAAAAAAAAAAAGAAACCACCUCUAUGAUUCCAUUUAAAUAUAUUUCCAGGCAUGUAAAAUAAUGUAUAGUGACAGGCAUGCUGUGUUUACCUGGGGCAAGGCAGUGGGAAGGGUAGGUAGGCCAGGUACUACAGAACUGAAAUUGUGAUGUUUGUAUUAUUGGGAAAUAAUAACGGUAUUCAGAACAAUCUAGUUAUGUUACUGGACAUAGCUGGGUAUCAUUAUAAUAGGGCAAACUUACAUUGUAAUUACUAAUUUUGAAAAUGCCAAAUUCUUGUACCUGACAUUUUGAUAUUUUUAGGUAGCACUUAAUUAAUUUCUGGCCCAUCAGGACAGCAGUGUGAAGAAAGUGUGGUGAGUUCCAUCUCACAGAUGAUCAAGCUCUGGCUCACAGAUACUAAGACCCUCUCCAGAUAACUGGCAGAAUGGCAAUGAGGUUCUAUCUCCUACCCUCCCACACAAUGGAACCAGCAGCUUCUUAUUUGGAGGAUGAUAAUUUUAUACUUCCCCAGUAUUGUUCCCUAAGGGUACUCACUCAACAGCCCUUCACAUUGAGGAAGAGGAUGGUAGAGAUGAAAUCCUGCCCUUUGGGCAUGAGGCAUAGCUGUGGGGUCAUAUGGAUUACCAGGUCUCUGAGGUUAACUGUGGGGUGAAAUAAAGAAAUAUAACCUCAUGUGGAACAAGAAAGAGCAGUGAAGAGAAUAGAAAACAGCAGGCCCUCCAGGGAUCAUUUAUAUUUAGUACUAUCUUUUCGAGAUUUUUUUUUUCAGUCAAUAAAUUUAGACUUUGCACUUCUAACUAGCUUGAUACAGCUCCAGACAAAGCUAAGAGUCUAGGUAAGCAGUCAAUCUGGUUGUGGAUUGUAUCAGAAAAAUGACUUUAGCAACUUAUUUAGAGAGGCUAUGCUCAGGUUCCCGCAUCCAUAAAAAUUGGUAUAAUAACACUCAUUCCCCUUUUAUUUUGCAGACAUCAUAAAAAUACAUAAGAUAAUUAAAGGAACCCAAAUAUAUGGGAAUAAACAUAUAAACCUGAGGUAGGACUGUUAUUAUAAUGAUGAUAAACAAUGAGCAUAUUCAAAUUCUGAGUAAUUAAUACAAACUGUCCAAGACCAUUUUUAAAUAUUGCAUGCAUAUGGCAACUUGGAAAGCAAGAAGGAAUCACAAGCUGGGCUAUUGGGAAAGUUUGAGAGUCCUAAUCCUGCCAGAGGCACUGCUGUUAGCCAUCAACAGCAUCAAGGCCCUCUACCAACAAAAAGAUAAUAAUUCACUGAAGGCUCAGAUGAUUGUUAGCAGUUUUUAGCAAUAAAGUCUUUUUAAAUUAAGGUAAGUACACUAUUUUUAUAGACAUAAUGCUAUUUGCAUAUUUAAUAGACUACAGUAGUGUAAACAUAACUUUUAUAUGCAGUGGGAAACCAUAAAAUUCAUGUGACUUGCUUAAUAUGGUAUUUGCUUUAUUGCAGUGGUCUGCAACUAAACCUGUAAUAUCUCUGCAAUGUCUCUGUGUGUGUGUGUGUAUAUAUAUAUAUACACAGAUAUACAUACAUACAUAUAUGAGUGUAUGUGUAUAUAUGUGUGUAUAUAUAUACACAUAUAUCACACACAUAUACAUAUAAGAAAAUGACAAGGAAUUAAAGAAAAUGGUUCAAUGAGCUUCUUCAGUCUCCCUCAAUCCUUCAGCAAAGUUCUCCUGCAACACAGAAAUGGCCCCAGUGCUUCAUUCACAAUGUUCUACUUCCUGCUCCAUUUCCUGGUGGUCUUUGUGGCAGUUAUGCUGGUUGGAUUAGGUGACAGUCAUCAUUUCUCUGAGAGGGAAGGAAAAGGUGGGCCAGGACAAACAUUUGUUGAAGUCCUACUAGGUGCCAUCUACUCUGUACAGGAUUUCCAAUUUACCCCACAGAACAGUUCUGUGAGGAAGGCAUUGUGAGUUCCUUUUACAGAUGACCAAGAACAGGCUGACAGAGGCUAAGAAAGGAUUCCAGUGUCAUACAUCAAGUAAGGGACAGGAAUGUCAUGUCAAAAACUAGAAAAAAAUCCACAUAGCAGAUAUGCUUAUUGUGAAAUAUCCACUCGAUGUAAUAAUAUCCACCAAUGAUGAUGAAUGAUCUACGACUAUAGAUAAUAAUAAAUGUAAAUCUCACAUACAGUAUGUUGAUUGAAGGAAGGAAGUUAGAAAAGAGAACAUGAUGUAUGAUUCUAGGAAUUUUUCUUCAAAUUUCCCAUUACAGUUUGGGCUACAUAAAAAAUUCAACACCCUAUUUUUUCUUAUUUGAAGGUACUUAGUGUUCCCGUAUAUUAUCUGCAGGUUAACCUCAGAGAAGCACAUAUCCUCUGAGCCCUUGAAAAGUGAAGCACUACAGCUAUGAACACGGCUAAUGCUGCUGAUAUGGUUUGGCUGUGUCCCCAUCUAAAUCUCAACUUGAAUUGUAUCUCCCGAAGAGAUGGAGAGGUUUGUCAGAGUUUAUCAAUUAUAGAACAGCCUCCUCUAGAGGAAUAUAAAGCACUGCCAAAUCCUCUGAGAUUUAGGCUGUUGCUGGUAGUAGUACUCUGGCAAAUAACUUUAUUCAGUUAUUUAAGUUUAUGGCUAAGCAUAGUAGGGUAUCUAAUCCCAGUUUGGGUCUUAGCUAUUUUAAAUUCAGAACAUAAUAAAGUCACUUUCAUAGUUUAUUUUCAUUUUAGCUAUUGCCUUUUAUGGCUUACAGUUUAGCUUUAGUUAGACAUAAUCAUAAACGUGUUGGGAGAAAAUGCUUUAAUUAGGAGUUAGGCUGAAAUAAUAUUUUGGAUAAGUUUAUAAUUGAAUUUAAUAAUAUGUGGGUACAUAUUAGAGCCUUAGGUAAUAAUCAGCAGAUAUAAGAUUUUUUGUUUGGGGGGUUUGGCAAGAAUAAAAGAUUGAUAUUUACAUAAAUACUGUAACAGCUUAAAGUAGGGGAUUAGAGGGAGUUUGCAGAGUUAAUCAUGUAUGAUGGGAAUAAUUAUGCAUCUGUGACUGUAUCUUGUUUUUAUUAUGCCCAUUGAGCAUGGAUUAAUUAACACCUUAUCGUUUUUGUUUGGGAAAAUAACAUUCAAUUUAAGUUCAACUACAGUCAAGUUUUGUCAAGGCCUUGACAGCCAUGUUGGAUCACAUCAUCCCCCCAAAUUAAAAAAUACCAAAUGCAUGACACCACAGUUAUGAGUGAUCAUGGGUUGAUUAGUCAUUAGUCCAUUGAGAUGUCUUAUUUAAGAGGAAAAAGAGGAUGGAUAUAAGCUCAUGGCCCUGAAAUAAGAACCAGAUG
rnacentral:lncRNA from 1 species